rnacentral:rRNA from 1 species
GAGUUUGUAUCAUGGCUCAGGAUGAACGCUAGCUACAGGCUUAACACAUGCAAGUCGAGGGGAAACGGACAUCGAAAGCUUGCUUUUGUAUGGGCGUCGACCGGCGCACGGGUGAGUAACGCGUAUCCAACCUGCCCACCACUUGGGGAUAACCUUGCGAAAGUAAGACUAAUACCCAAUGAUAUCUCUAGAAGACAUCUGAAAGAGAUUAAAGAUUUAUCGGUGAUGGAUGGGGAUGCGUCUGAUUAGCUUGUUGGCGGGGUAACGGCCACCAAGGCGACGAUCAGUAGGGGUUCUGAGAGGAAGGUCCCCCANAUUGGAACUGAGACACGGUCCAAACUCCUACGGGAGGCA